rfam:Salmo salar isolate Sally breed double haploid chromosome ssa13, whole genome shotgun sequence.
CCAAAGGCUAUUUUAAGAGCCACCUAAGCAAUGCAAAUUAGCACUGU